rnacentral:rRNA from 1 species
CACCGCGGUUAGACGAGAGGCUCAAGUUGAUAAACAAUCGGCGUAAAGAGUGGUUAUGGAAACUACGAAACUAAAGCCAAAUGCCCCCAAGGCUGUUAUACGCACCCGGAGGCCAGAAGCCCAACCACGAAAGUGGCUUUAUGUUACCUGAAUCCACGAAAGCUAUGGAA